GGCACAGUGCUCCCCACCCUGUGAAAGCCCGGGGAGGGGGGUGGGGGUGGGGCAUCUCUGGAGUUUGCUCGUCUCUGCAAGUUUCUGGUGAGGCUUGAAAUGGUACCACCCUACCCACCUUCCCUGCUCACUUGUCUGCAUUUUCAAACCUGGUUCUAUUCGUUACGCAAAGUCUAAUAGAUGCGGUGCCAAGGAGAAUGACGGCUCGUGUCCGCACUGUGUGGUCGCCCACUGUCACGCAGUAACUCCUCAGGUAUCGACCGGUCCAUGUGGGCAACACCCCGGCUUGGUAUCUGCUGGGCUCUCUCCGUACAGUUUAGGAAACUCUAAUCCAUAAAAGCCCGUUUGAAAUUUCCAUUAGGAGAUUUGCACAAGUGGUUAAAAUUAGUCAUGCAUUCUUGGCCUAAACUGCAGGAAGGGUAUCUUUACUGUGAAAAUGAUUAUGACAUGUUAAAACUGUGUAAUAGUAAGCAGACAGUUUUCCGAGCUGCUGGCUGGGCUCUGGAAAUGCUCUAUUUAUUUUCUCCCUCUUGACUCCUCUUUCAGGCAAGGCUGCCAGUGCGCUGACUUGGAGAACAACUGAGACCCCGGCCGUUUCAAAGCCUGGCCAUCACGUGGCUUCCUCUGUGGGCCAGGCCACCUCUUUGCUUUGCUUUUCCUUUUGUGUGAGAAGGGGCCUUAGAAGACAGCCGCAUUUCCAGUUCAUUCACCUUCUCCCUCCCUCAUUUACCGUUUAGGGAAGGACGACAUUGUUCUAAGGUCGGGGCGACAGCAGUGACUCCUGCGUGCCCAAGAUCAGCCGCCUGGCUUAUUUGAUUACGACUCCUUUGCAGUGCAGCCGUGUUGUUCGUAUUAGAGAAAGGGCUGUGAUUUUCUUUGCCAGUAAAAAGGCAGCCACUUAGAUUUUCCAAAGCCAUUUGCAUUCAGUCUGACGGUGGCUAAAAAUGUAUGUGGAUUUUUCAUCUGAGAGGCUUUCCCUGCGUGUUGUUUACAUUUAUCAAACGUUGUCCUGCCCACCAGUACCUGAUAUUCAUUGUAGCUUCCAGACCUCCCUGACAACAUGGCCCGCGUGAAACCCAAAACAAAACAAAGCAGAAAGAGUCAAGAGGUCUUCUUUUGGGAGAAUAGGGAAACAAGGACAGGCAGGUGUGGCUGUAAAAAUGAGCAGCCUGCCAAGUGGAGGCUCUGCCUUUGUUCUGUCAUCAGUGUGUCGGUUGUCAAUCAAGCCCCCCUCCUCCUUACAAGCCCUCCAAGCUCCUGUGAGCACCCCGCCCUUGGCCCGCCUCUUAGCGUGCAGUGGUGCAGCCUGGAAAAUCGUGAAAUACUUAAAAUAACAGGAAAGACUGGAAAAAGCUGAUGUUUGGGAUUAUCCGAACAAAACAGUGUAAUACUUACUUGCCUUUUUACUUCCUCUGGCUCUUUGUGUUUGAUGAGUCUGUGGAAUGCCACACAGACCAUCCGACUGGGCUGCUUUCCUGCAUACAUAUUACAAAUAAGCAAACCAAACCUCUAUUCCUGCAAUUCUGAUACUUGGCCACCAGGUGGUGGAAGUGUAUCUUGAUUAAGGAAUCGGAUCUGCUAGGUGUAGGCAUUCAUCUGUGUUUUCACUGAGUCACCUUUAUGGAGUGUAGAGCCUGGUGUUGAUGCUAGUUCCCUGGUGGCCUAGCAGCUUAAGGAUCGAGUGUUGUCACUGCUGUGGUGCGGGUUAGAUCCCUGGCCUGGGAACUUCUGCAUGCGACAGGCGUGCCCCCCCCGCCCCAGUUUUAAAAAACCCCUUAAGUAAUUUAGGAUUUCGUUGGUUAGUGUGUUUAUCUAGUCUUAGAAAAGGAAGUUAGUAGUCAUUUCGUACUAAGGAAGGGAAAGGAAGCGGGUCCUGGGAUGGCGCUGUGUGUGUAUGGUCUUCCCUUAAUAUUCCUGGUGACCCUGGCAGGCAGGUCUUCUUAUCCUUGUUGUGAAGAGUGGAGUUCAGGAGGAUGGGGCAAGUUGCCCACAGCGCGGGGGCGGGUAAGCCAGGCUUCCCACCAGGGUGGUGUGCCUGCGGGAGGCCAGGCGCAGAGUAGGACAGUCUCCAGCCCGAGGUCUCUGGGCUUUCCAGAUCACAGUUGUCAUCGCAGAGACGCAGCAGGAAUGAUCAAGGGCGGACGUGGUUGACCUGCCGGAGCUACUGUGGGGGCAGCUGGGGCGCCUCUUGCGGGGGAGCCUUCCCUUCCCGAGGAAGGUGUCCUCUGGGACGUGCCAUUGCGGCGUGUGAGCACACGCACCUGCGGACCAGGGGCUGCCGUGCUGGGGGAUGCUGGCCAGUCUGCAUCCGGGAAGGGAGGAGAGCCCCUUCCCCGGGAAAGUGAAGCCUCCAACCGAGAAUGCGGCUGCCCACCCACCCUCCCCGCCUUGGAUGCACAUCAAGAGGGGUUUCUAUUCAAUGGCAAGAAGCAGACAAGCAGCAAGGGCACAAACAUUCUACAAGGAAGGAUCCUGUGCAGUUUACAGAUGACGCUCACGUGCGUGUCGCCUCUCACAUCAGCCAUGUGCGCGGCGCAGGUGUUAUUUUUACAGUUGGAGCCGUUUCGUCGGUGAGGAAACCAAGGCUCAGGAAUUUCGAUAUCUGGCCCCGAGUUUCAUGGCCAGUGAGCCUCAACUCCCAUACCUGGUCUUGCCAGAUAAAAUAUAAGACAGCCCGUUACAUUUGAAUUUCACAUAAACAGCAGAUAACUUCUCAGUGUAGGGAGUGGCCCGGGCAAUGUUUGGGACAUACGUACACUUUAGAAAUAUCACAUGGGAUAUACCCCUACUAUGAAAUAAUCUGUCGUUUAUCUGAAAUUAGAGUUGAACUGGGCACCCUGUAGUUUUGUUGGCUCAGUCAGGCACCCACUGAAGGCACCUUUUUGUUUCUGCCCUACUCUGCCACGUGGUCUGGGUAUCAUGCUAUGAUUCAGUAACUACUCUAGGAAAUCAUAAUUAUUUUCAAAGUUUCUCCUUAUCGAACCCUUAUCAUCUGCUGUAAAGCUACCAAAGCACGUACCUGCAUUACAUCUCCUUCCAGCCGCCUUGAAAGUUGAUGCCCCUUCCCAGAAAAUACUAGGGUUCAGAGAGGAUGAGCCGCUGGCUCACCACCUCUUAAUUAAUAACAGUGAAAAUUGGGAUAAGAACUAGGUGCUGUGCCUUCAAGGACAUGUGUUAUGGAUGUCUACAUUCC
rnacentral:lncRNA from 1 species